rnacentral:lncRNA from 1 species
GUGGAGCAGCUGACUCUGGGACAUCUGCUGGUGCACCUGAAAAACGAGUGUCAGUUUGAGGAACUCCCCUGCCUGCGUGCCGACUGCAAAGAGAAAGUACUGAGGAGAGACUUGCGGGAUCACGUGGAAAAGGCCUGUAAAUACCGAGAGGCCACGUGCGCCCACUGCAAGAGCCAAGUCCCCAUGAUCACACUGCAGGUGCGCCGCUGCCUGUGCCCGUCCCUGCUCGCCAGGUGCAGAGAUGACGGUCCUAACCGGGAGAGCGGAAGGGGAUUAAAUAGCAGUUUUCAUCUAA